rnacentral:rRNA from 1 species
GUGGGGAAUCUUGCGCAAUGGGCGAAAGCCUGACGCAGCCAUGCCGCGUGGAUGAUGAAGGUCUUAGGAUUGUAAAAUCCUUUCACCGGUGAAGAUAAUGACUGUAGCCGGAGAAGAAGCCCCGGCUAACUUCGUGCCAGCAGCCGCGGGAAUACGAAGGGGGCUAGCGUUGCUCGGAUUUACUGGGCGUAAAGGGCGCGUAGGCGGACAUUUAAGUCAGGGGUGAAAUCCCGGGGCUCAACCUCGGAACUGCCUUGGAUACUGGGUGUCUUGAGUAUGAGAGAGGUGUGUGGAACUCCGAGUGUAGAGGUGAAAUUCGUAGAUAUUCGGAAGAACACCAGUGGCGAAGGCGACACACUGGCUCAUUACUGACGCUGAGGCGCGAAAGCGUGGGGAGCAAACAGGAUUAGAUACCCGAGUAGUCC